AGCAGCCGCGGUAAUUCCAGCUCCAAUAGCGUAUAUUAAAGUUGUUGCAGUUAAAAAGCUCGUAGUUGAAUUUCGGGAUUGACACAUCGGUCGUGCCUUAAGGGGUAUGAACUGGUGUAGUCAAUUUCUCACCUUCUGGAGAACCGCGAUGCCCUUAAUUGGGUGUCGCGGGGAACCAGGACCUUUACUUUGAAAAAAUUAGAGUGUUUAAAGCAGGCAUUUUGCUUGAAUACAUUAGCAUGGAAUAAUAAAAUAGGACGGCAUGAUUCUAUUUUGUUGGUUUCUAGGAUCACCGUAAUGAUUAAUAGGGAUAGUUGGGGGCAUUAGUAUUCAAUUGUCAGAGGUGAAAUUCUUGGAUUUAUUGAAGACUAACUACUGCGAAAGCAUUUGCCAAGGAUGUUUUCAUUAAUCAAGAACGAAAGUUAGGGGAUCGAAGACGAUCAGAUACCGUCGUAGUCUUAACCAUAAACUAUGCCGACUAGGAAUCAGACGAUGUUAAUUUUUAAUGUAACUCGUUUGG
rnacentral:misc_RNA from 1 species